AACUGGGUCAAACAGAAAUAGGUGUCAGUGGGGACUUUUCUAGAUACUUGUACGAUAAAACCAAGGUGUUUUUAAAAAUGAAAUUGACACUUUUAUACUAGGUCCAUGUUAGAAUCACUCUAUGGAAGUCUAAAUAGCCAAAACACGGGACAUUUAAAGCCAAGGAUGCUAGUGAAUGGGGCAGUGCCAAUUGUCUAUAACUGCCAGAGCUUCCUCCUACCGUCCCGCUAUCGUCAGGUAUCGUGUUCCGCUGUGACAUUACGUCACCAACAAUGAGGGUGUUAACCACUUGGCCCCUGCAAAGAAGAUACCAACCCAUUAGAGUCCGGGCCGCAACGGCCCGCUGCUGCCUAGACUACUUGCUGCCAGCUGGACUGCACGGAGAGACUGUCAGAACACAAGCUUGCAAAUCGAAGUUCUGCAUGUGCAGCCAACUUGUAACUUGCCUUAAAAUCCCGAGAGAGACCGGGAGAAUCUACGUCCACGGGGAUGGACAGCUACCUCAGCAAUAAACAUGGCAGUGAAGGUCCCAUCGGGAGGUCUACUGGGAUGGUUCAGGCUAGAACAGCAGGGGACUGUGGUUUGAUAUAGCAAGUCCAGUCCUUUGCUAAAAAUGGGGAUUAGCAAGAGACUGAAUGUGUACGUAGUCACCUUUCCAAAAUUGUCUCACAGACUUUAAUAACUAAACGAAUAUGAUAUCAUUCAUGAAGAUACAGGCAGAAAACCCAUGUCACACAUUGUAACGUUGAACCACAUUAAACUGUUAAGAAAAUCGUUCUCUUCAUGCAACAUUGUAACACUAUCAUGCAAAAGUGAUAUUUACUGCAAGGUAGCCUAAUGUUACAGUAUAUGUUAUUAUGCUACUACAGUCAUAUGACACUAGUGUUCUUGUUUGAAUGAUCAUUUGGAAAAUGAUCAUUUGGGAAGACGGGGUGUCCACCGGGCCAUCAUGGCUGCUCACAGCGCACCGUUGACAGCUGUGAGGGUCAGAGGGCAGUGUGGCUGGAAGCGGAGAAGAACCAGGAAGACAGCAGCUCGUCGCGCUGGGCUGCCCGCUUCGGAGUGCUUCUCCUUUGUCGGCCAGAUGAUGGGGCUGAGUUACGUUCGCCUGUGGCUGCCUCAUUCAGAAUCCAUCGUGACCGUGCUAAAUGUUAUCGGUUUGAUGUUGAAUUUUUUGGAAUGUAAAAUCAAUUAAAACUAUAAGUGAGGUGAUCGACUUACCUGAUGACUCUGUGACAAUGGUGACGUGACGUUCUCGGUGCUUUUUCAAGAUUAGUCAUACAGC